rnacentral:rRNA from 1 species
ACGUCUCAGCUCGGAUUGUAGUCUGCAACUCGACUACAUGAAGCUGGAAUCGCUAGUAAUCGCAGAUCAGAAUGCUGCGGUGAAUACGUUCCCGGGUCUUGUACACACCGCCCGUCACACCAUGGGAGUCGGAAAUGCCCGAAGCCGGUGACCCAACCAAAAGGAGGGAGCCGUCGAAGGCAGGUCUGAUAACUGGGGUGAAGUCGUAACAAGGUACC